AUUGAACGCUGGCGGCAUGCCUUACACAUGCAAGUCGAACGGCAGCACGGGUGCUUGCACCUGGUGGCGAGUGGCGAACGGGUGAGUAAUACAUCGGAACAUGUCCUGUAGUGGGGGAUAGCCCGGCGAAAGCCGGAUUAAUACCGCAUACGAUCUACGGUUGAAAGCGGGGGACCUUCGGGCCUCGCGCUAUAGGGUUGGCCGAUGGCUGAUUAGCUAGUUGGUGGGGUAAAGGCCUACCAAGGCGACGAUCAGUAGCUGGUCUGAGAGGACGACCAGCCACACUGGGACUGAGACACGGCCCAGACUCCUACGGGAGGCAGCAGUGGGGAAUUUUGGACAAUGGGCGAAAGCCUGAUCCAGCAAUGCCGCGUGUGUGAAGAAGGCCUUCGGGUUGUAAAGCACUUUUGUCCGGAAAGAAAUCCUUGGCCCUAAUACGGUCGGGGGAUGACGGUACCGGAAGAAUAAGCACCGGCUAACUACGUG
rnacentral:rRNA from 1 species